UCUCGAUGGCGUAAAAGUUAAUUUAAAUUUGUAUGGAGUUGGAAAGUUUGCCUACGUUGGCCGUCAGAGGCGCUGUUCCAACUGCAUACAAAUUUUAAGUUUUACUCUGUCGA
rnacentral:pre_miRNA from 9 species